GGCCCAGUGGCGAAUGGUUCGCAUUCGCACCGUAUACACUGUGGGGAUUAUACAGGAUCAUAUAGCGGCACUUCCUGGUUCGAAUCCAGGCUGGGUCC